GACGAACGCUGGCGGCGUGCUUAACACAUGCAAGUCGAACGGAAAGGCCUUUUCGGAGGUACUCGAGUGGCGAACGGGUGAGUAACACGUGGGUGAUCUGCCCUGCACUCUGGGAUAAGCCUGGGAAACUGGGUCUAAUACCGGAUAGGACCGCACUUUAGUGUGUGUGGUGGAAAGUUUUUUCGGUGUAGGAUGAGCCCGCGGCCUAUCAGCUUGUUGGUGGGGUAAUGGCCUACCAAGGCGGCGACGGGUAGCCGGACUGAGAGGUUGGUCGGCCACAUUGGGACUGAGAUACGGCCCAGACCCCUACGGGAGGCAGCAGUGGGGAAUAUUGCACAAUGGGCGCAAGCCUGAUGCAGCGACGCCGCGUGGGGGAUGACGGCCUUCGGGUUGUAAACUCCUUUCGCCAGGGACGAAGCGUUUUGUGACGGUACCUGGAGAAGAAGCACCGGCUAACUACGUG
rnacentral:rRNA from 1 species